UAGGGAAUCUUCCGCAAUGGGCGAAAGCCUGACGGAGCGACGCCGCGUGAGCGAGGAAGGCCUUCGGGUCGUAAAGCUCUGUUGUCAGGGAAGAAGGCGCGCUGUUCGAACAGGGCGGCGCGGUGACGGUACCUGACGAGGAAGCCCCGGCUAACUACGUG
rnacentral:rRNA from 1 species